rnacentral:rRNA from 1 species
AAGUAGGUAGCUUAACCUUCGGGAGGGCGCUUACCACUUUGUGAUUCAUGACUGGGGUGAAGUCGUAACAAGGUAACCGUAGGGGAACCUGCGGUUGGAUCACCUCCUUACCAAGAAGAU